rnacentral:rRNA from 1 species
UACGGAGGGUGCAAGCGUUAUCCGGAUUUACUGGGUUUAAAGGGUGCGUAGGUGGGCAGAUAAGUCAGUGGUGAAAUCUCCGGGCUUAACUCGGAAACUGCCAUUGAUACUAUUUGUCUUGAAUAUCCUGGAGGUGAGCGGAAUAUGUCAUGUAGCGGUGAAAUGCUUAGAUAUGACAUAGAACACCCAUUGCGAAGGCAGCUCACUACGGGAUCAUUGACACUGAGGCACGAAAGCGUGGGGAUCAAACAGG